GUCCUCCACGUUCUUCAGGCAGCCUGUUUCCUGACUGCGCCUCCACUACUACCGCUAAAUAAGACAAAACCAACUUCCUGUGCGUUCCGGAGCAAAUAUGCAGAUUUAACAUCAUAUUUGAAUAUUUAACGUGUUUGUCCUGAAGUGGAAAAUGAGAGAAUGUUGAGCAGCAUGAGCCCAUGGGAGGUUGGGAGUGUGUUCAGAUUAGGACUCGAUUUCACAAACACAAUGAAUUUACGUAAGCACACAGUGCGAUUAAACUCCACACGUCUCCUGGUUAGAGUCAGAAAUGGAGCACGCGGGCGAUCGUCCUGUAGAAACCUGCGGCCACACUUCAUUUACUUCAGGCACAGAUGACGUUUGAAACCCCAGAGCUGCAGCUGCAGAGACAUAAGACCUGUACAGGUAAUGUACAGUGCCUUGCAAAAGGAUUCACUCCCUUUGACCUUUGACCUAUUUUGUUACAUUACAGCCUUAAAUUCAAUGUUUCCUUAAUGUGAACUUUAUGUGAUGGAUCAGAACACAGUAGUGUUCAGUAAUUUUUUUAGAAAUAGAAAGCAGAAAAAUGGCAUGUGCGUACGUAUUCACCCCCUUUGUUAUGAAGCCCAUAAAAAGUGUAACGUGUUGGAGUGGCCCAGUCAAAGCCCAGCCUUCAAUCCAAUAGAAAAUCUGUGGUCAGACUUAAAGAUUACUGUCCACAAGCACAAACCAUCCAACCUAAAGGAGCUGGAGCAGUUUUGCCAGGAGGAAUGGGCAAAACUCCCAGUGGAAGGAUGUGACAGGCGCAUGGAGACGUAUCCAAAGCGACGUGGAGCUGUGACCGCUGCAAAAGGUUGUGAGGCACCAAAACACGCGAAAUGCCAAGAGGGCGUGAAUAUUUUUGCAGGGCACUGUUCUGUGUCGAGGGCGCCCCCUGCUGGUGUGUGUACGAACGCGUGGGCUGUAGCACCAGAGAUAACGGACUGAGCUGGGAUUUUACACACAUCCUGUUUGGACCUGAUCCCGUCCUUAUCUAGAAACGAGGUUCUGCAAAUAUGUGGCCUCAUUUCUGUCCGUCUGCAAUAAAUUGAUAUAAGUUUGCCA